CGUGGGUUCUCGUGAUAUCAAAAAUAAACCGGCAGCACAAGGCCUGGGAGCGGCGAAGCGCGGUGCGAAGAGUGGGGACCCCCAUGGGGCGAGGAAGGGGGGGGGGGACCCCCAAAGGGCGAAGAAUGGGGCCCCCAAAGGGCGAGGAGUGGGGCCUCCAUGGGGCAAAGAGUGGAGACUCCUAUGGGGCGCAGCGGGGACCCCCAAAGGCUGAAGAAUGGGGGCCCCAAAAGGGCAAAGAAUGGGACCCCCAUGGGGCAAAGAGUGGGGAUGUCAAUGGGGCAAAGAGUGGGGACCCCCAAAAGGUGAAGAGCGGGACCUCCAUGGGGUGAAGAGUGGGGAUCCCCAAAGAGCAAAGAAUGGGGCCCCCAUGGGGCAAAGAGUGGGGACCCCUACGGGGCAAAGAGUGGGGACCCCUACGGGGCAAAGAGUGGAGACUCCUAUGGGGUGCAGCGGGGACCCCCAAAGGCUGAAGAAUGGGGGCCCCAAAAGGGCAAAGAAUGGGACCCCCAUGGGGCAAAGAGUGGGGACGUUAAUGGGGCAAAGAGCGGGGACCCCCAAAGGGCGAGGAGCGGGACCUCCAUGGGGCAGUGUGGGGACCCCAAAGAGCAAAGAACGGGACCGCCAUGGGGCAAAGGGUGGGGACCCCAAAGAGCAAAGAACGGGGCCCCCGUGGGGCCAAGAGUGGGGACCCCCAAGAGGUGAAGAGCGGGACCUCCACGGGGCGAGGAGUGGGGACCCCCAAAGGGCAAAGAGCGAGAUCCCCAUGGGGCGCAGAGUGAGGACCCCGAAGAGCAAAGAACGGGGGCCCCGCGGGGCCAAGAGUGGGGACCCCCAAAGGGCAAAGAGCGAGGCCCCCCCCCCCCCUGGGGCAAAGGGCGGGGAGCCCCGCGGAGCGACGAGUGGGGACCCCCCCCCACCCAUCCCCAAUAAAUACCUUAUUUACAACGCGGACCCGACCCCUCGGCGAGGAGGAGGAGGAGGAAGAGGGCUGGGUGGGGGGGGNNNNNNNNNNNNNNNNNNNNNNNNNNNNNNNNNNNNNNNNNNNNNNNNN
rnacentral:lncRNA from 1 species